AUCCAGCUGACCAGUCCCAAAUAGGACGAAACGCGCGUUCUGGAU
rnacentral:hammerhead_ribozyme from 1 species